GACGAACGCUGGCGGCGUGCUUAACACAUGCAAGUCGAACGGAAAGGCCCUGCUUUUGUGGGGUGCUCGAGUGGCGAACGGGUGAGUAACACGUGAGUAACCUGCCCUUGACUUUGGGAUAACUUCAGGAAACUGGGGCUAAUACCGGAUAGGAGCUCCUGCUGCCUGGUGUGGGUUGGAACGUUUCGGCGGUUGGGGAUGGACUCGCGGCUUAUCAGCUUGUUGGUGGGGUAGUGGCUUACCAAGGCUUUGAUGGGUAGCCGGCCUGAGAGGGUGACCGGCCACAUUGGGACUGAGAUACGGCCCAGACUCCUAAGGGAGGCAGCAGUGGGGAAUAUUGCACGAUGGGCGGAAGCCUGAUGCAGCAACGCCGCGUGCGGGAUGACGGCCUUCGGGUUGUAAACCGCUUUCGCCUGUGACGAAGCGUGAGUGACGGUAAUGGGUAAAGAAGCACCGGCUAACUACGUG
rnacentral:rRNA from 1 species